rnacentral:tRNA from 1 species
GAUAAAAUGGCUGAUUUAAAGCGAUAAAUUGUAAAUUUAUUUAUGAAUAUUAAAUUCUUUUAUCA